CGGAGCGUAGUAUAGUGGCAGUACACACGCUUCGGGUGCGUGAAGUCCGAGUUCGAUUCUCGGCGCUCCGA
rnacentral:tRNA from 1 species